rnacentral:tRNA from 2 species
GGUUGAGUAGUGUAGUGGUCAACAUGGUGGCUUCACAUAAUCAGUGAAUGCGCUACAGCCCCGGGUUCGAUUCCCGGCUCGACUA